rnacentral:misc_RNA from 1 species
GAUGAAGAACGUAGCGAAAUGCGAUAAGUAAUGUGAAUUGCAGAAUUCAGUGAAUCAUCGAAUCUUUGAACGCACAUUGCGCCCCCUGGUAUUCCGGGGGGCAUGCCUGUUCGAGCGUCAUUUCACCACUCAAGCCUCGCUUGGUAUUGGGCAACGCGGUCCGCCGCGUGCCUCAAAUCGUCCGGCUGGGUCUUCUGUCCCCUAAGCGUUGUGGAAACUAUUCGCUAAAGGGUGUUCGGGAGGCUACGCCGUAAAACAACCCCAUUUCUAAGGUUGACCUCGGAUCAGGUAGGGAUACCCGCUGAACUUAAGCAUAUCAAUAAGCGGAGGA